AAUCUAGAGGAAAAGCCCCUGAUUUUUUAUUUAUUUAUUUUAUUUUUCUUAAAUUCUCUGAUUGGAAAUGCCAAUUUGAACCAUCUAUUGAGAUGUUCAGUGCAGGAAGCAGCACCCCCGGGGCUGGGGCUGCUUCCCUGGGACCCCCAGAGCAGGGCUGGGGUCUCUCUGCCCCCUCCUUCCCUCCCCAGGGCAGGGAUGAGCUUGGAAAGGGCUGAUUUUCUUCUUGGCUCUGAGAACCCCGACCAAACCACCUGGAUUUGGGGUCUGGGGAGUUUGGGGUCACCACAGAGGCUCGGGGGGGGGGGUUCACCCUUCCUCCUGCCUCUUUCACCUUCACUUCCAAGACAAAACCAAACACCUUUCCCCACCUGUCCAGCGCAGCCCCAGCUCAGCCCUCCCCACACUGGGCACCCCCACGAUGGGGCUGCCCCCCCUGGCAUCCUCGGGGCACCCCCAGCCUUGGCAUGAGGUGUUCUGGGGUCCACAUCCCAGUCUGGGCACGAGGGGGCUGCAGGAGAUGCCCUUGGGCUGGGCAAGGCGGAUUUGGGGUCAUCUGGAGGAGGAGGGGACCCUGGGAGAGGGGGCAACCUCACCUGGGAGGGGUGACCUCACCUGGGAGGUCUCCCCAUGGAUUUGGGGUCAUCUGGAGGAGGAGAGGACCCUUGGAGAGGGGGCAACCUCACCUGGGAGGUCACCUCAUGGAUUUUGGGGUUGUCUGGAGGAUGAGGGGGACCUUGGAGAGGGGGUAGCCUCACCUGAGAGGUCACCUGAUGGAUUUUGGGAGGGGUAACCUCAGCUGGGAGGUCACCCCGUGGAUUUUGGGGUCAUCUGGAGGAGAAGGAACCCUUUGGGAUGCAUCUCUCACCUGGGAGGUCACCUCAUGGGUUUUGGGAGGGGUAACCUCACCUGAGAGGUCACCCCAUGGAUUUGGGGUCAUCUGGAGGAGAAGGAACCCUUUAAGAAAUGGGUAACCUCACCUGGGAGGUCACAUCAUGGACUUGGGGUUGUCUGGAGGAGAGGAACCCUUUGGGAUGGAUCUCUCACCUGGUAGGUCACCCCAUGGAUUUUGGGAGGUGUAACCUCAGCUGGGCGGUCACCUCGUGGAUUUUGGGGUCAUCUGGAGGAUGAGGGGCCCCUUCAGGAAGGAGGUGGAGUGGGAAGCGUCACCUGGGAGGUGCAGGAAGAAUUUCACCACCUCUUCCACAGGGCUGGAAGUGUCAUCCCCCCCAAACCCUGCCAGCACCUGGCACCUGUGCCACCCGUGUCACCUUUGGGGCACAAGUGGGGCUCAGGUGAGGCAGAGGAGGCCCAGCUCGGUGCCACACACAGGUGGCAACGAGGGAUGUGACACUGGGGACACCGCAGAGGUGACCAACGUGGCUCAGCUGUGUCAGGAGCAGUGUUGGCACUGGGAAGGAGCAGGACACGGAGGUUUUGAGGUGGUUUUGGGGUGGUUUUCCUCCUUUCCAUCUCCUGGGGGGCUGGAGGGGUCCCAGGCAGAGCCAGGAGCAGGGAUGGGAGUGGGGUUGGCUGGUCCCUGGGCCAGGGAGGCUUUUCCCUCUUGGAAUUCAGUUCCUCACUGGUUCUGCUGCUCCAGAGCUGCUCCAAAGGAGACCAGCCUGGUUGUGAGGUGGUUUUGAGGCGAUUUUGGUGGUUUUGAAGUGGUUUUGGUUGUUUUGGGGUGGUGUUAACUUGGUUUUGGUGGUUGUGACAUGGUUUUGAGGUGGUUCUAGUGGUUUUGAGGUGUUUUUUGAGGUUCCACCUGCUGUGAGGUGUGGCAGGGCAGCCCGGGAAGCAGGCGGGGACCUGUGGAGGUGUCACCUGGCCUGGUGUCACCUGGAGGGAGCUGCCGAGGGGCUGGGAGGGGUCAGAGGUUCCAUCUGAAGCCACUCCUGGCAGCAGGAGACAAAGAGUUGGGUGGAGGUGGGAGCAGUGGAAGAGAUUUGUGUCACAGCCAGGGGUGACAGUGACACCAGCGUGGCCCUGGGGUGACAGGGACCCUCCAGAACUGGGAGGAUUCCAGGUGGAAGCCGUGACAGGGCCACUCCAUGUCACCAUGGUGACGUGACAGCGAGUCCCUGACCCUUUUGGGGUCACUGUGUGGAGUCCUUGGGGGGUGACAGACACCCCACAUCACAGAGGAGCAGGGGCUGGGUGGCCUGGGGGUGACAGGGCGGGGUGUGGCCCCUGUCCUUGUCCCCUUGGGGGUUGGUGACACCGCACACGGCGGGGGGGGAGGUGGCAGGGUCAGUGUCACCGUGUCUGGGAGAGCCCAGGCCACCACCCCGUCCUCGGGGGGGGGUCCCCUUGGUGGCUCCACAUCCACCCAGUCACGGGGUUGGGGCACGAGGAGGAUUUGGGGACCCCCUUGGAGGCUUCCUGGCCGGCACUGAACUCUCAAUAGACACGAAAGCCAUAUUUUGGGGAGCUCUGGAGAGGCCAGGGGGGGCAGAGGCUGGGCUGUGUUGUUGUGCUGUGUUUUUUUUGUCUGUACAUAAAAAGGGAGCCAACGACCGUCGAUGUGACUUUAUAACCUUUCUAAUAUCCUGUGCUAAUCUCGGAAAAUAAUCCUAUAAAUAUAUCUGGAUUACACACCUUA